CCCAGGGAAAUAGCCAGUCUGUGGGCAGAACCCGGAGUCUGGCCGCCCGUGGUCCCCACUCCUGGCAGGACUCAGAACCACCAGGUCACUAGGGGUCCCUGAGGGGCAGACAACAGGCACCUCUCACCUUCCAGCACUCACCUGCCCCAACCGCCAACCUCAGAUGUCCACGCCACUGAGACGCAGGAGCUCUCAAAGGCAGAACAGGAGUUCGCUGAGGAGGAGCCCCUAAGACACACACCAGGUGUAAGCACUUGGAUCUUCUCAGACCAACCCACAAGCUGUCGGCUUAAGGAUUCUAACUGGAAGCUUCUGUGUGUACAGAGCUGGGCUUCCGCACUUGCUCCUGUAAGCUUGUCUGUCCGGGACCUCCUGUAGCCCCUCCACCCGGCCGGCCCGCACCUCCCCCUGCAGCCCCUCCCCUCCACUGGGCCCGCACCUCCCCCUGCAGCCCCUGCCGCCUCCUCCCUCAUGGCUGCUGCCCGCAGACCCCCCACCUGUGGUGCUCCUUGCCCUGAAGUCUGCAUGGCCCACGGGGAAAAUCCCAGCUCCCCAGCAGCAUUGGCACCCUCUGAGGGUGGCCCUCUGUGCCAUCCCCAUACCCGCCUUCCCUCCUCUCUACUCUCUUCUAGAACCUUCCUGAACUUCCUGGCCCCGCCCCGUCCACCUCCAGCCCUGCCUCCUCCCUGGAGCCCCCGAGCUGUUCUGAACCAGUGCCCCCUACACCGACCCCCUGUCCCCUGCCUGGACCUGCGUCCUUCGGGUGUUGGUUCUGUUUCCAUCCGCCCCCCACUCUCUCCUUCCCUUCAGCCGGGCCCAUGUCCCCAGGCUUGGGGAUUCGCUGACGGUGACCACCAGAAAGUCCCAGCACUCGAGCUUGGCUGAGUCCUUAGGAGCCCUACCCGGCUGUAGCCGUGUCUGCUUUAAUAAAAUGCAAAACACUUCAUUUCUUUUUCAGUUUAAAAGCAAAACGGUUCGUCUCAAGAGUUCAUCUCAGGAGACAAGGACUGUGCCGAGUGUCGCCUCCUGCCUGGAGUGACCCUGACCCUGGGCGGGGACCCCUGGGCCUGCCGUCAGCCAGCAGAGAGAGGGAGCUGCACCAGCCUCUCACAUGAGCAGGAGCACCUAUGGAGCACCUGCUGCAUGCAGUGGGAGCAGGGAGAGAGGAGAUCUCUCGUAAUGCAGCCAGGUGGUGUCCGGGGGACUGAGGCCCACCAGCGCCUCCACCUUUUCCCGGCCUGACGGCGAAUUCCGGUGCUGCUUCCUCAGCCCUGGCUCAGAUGCCACCCUGCCGCUGCAGGAUCUGCCUUCUGCUCUGCAUCCUGGCUCUGUCAUCAGCAGCCCUGGUCUCAAGGGGAGGCCCUCUGGGCGCACCGGCUCCCGCGUGUCUCAGAGGCUAUGCAGACAGGAGUCCCUGGACUGGGCUGUGUUAGCUGGGGCUCCUUCCCUCCAGCAAUGAGUCCCCAGAUCGUCUCCCUCGUGUGCCUCAGUUCUCAAAGGUCCCGGCAGCCCCUCUGUGCCAGGCAGUGGCCCUGCGCCAGCAGCCUCCUCCCACAGCCCAGGAGCUGGAGGAAACAGCUCAGCCAAGCCCUGCCGCCAGCUAGAGCCCGGACUCCCUCCUUGACAUUCAGAGCUGCUGAGUUUUCCUGCGCACGGUUGGUUUGACAUUUGCAUUGGAAUGGAUUUAUGUUAACUUCCUCCCUGCUGCUGGCUGGAGACCAAAUCCUCCGGGUUGCUCAGGCAGUGAUCCCCGGAUGGGCCGCCCGCCUCGUUGCCUGCCCUGCCACAGGGAGGCCCUGGGACCUGAGACCACCCAGGCGCAGACUCGGUGCUGUGCAGCUCAUGGAGCGCCCCCACCUCUGCCCCCAGCGAGCCCUCCAGCCCCCUUGUCUUGGAAGGACGCAGCUCCCCUUCCUGGCCCUCCCCCAACCCCAAGUCCUCUCCCAAGAGCUGCUUCCUCUAUGAAGCUUCCCUGAGCCGCCCUCUUGGAGGGUCGCUGUUCCCUGGAGAAUUCUGACCACACCUGGCCCCUCCAUCAUUUCAUGGACGCAGCCCUGGUCAGCUCCACUUGGGUCGGGGCUGACGCGGCUCAUUCCCUUGCGCCCCAGCGCAGCACAGGACAGGCUAUUCACCUGGUAUCCAAUCCGCCUGUGCUGUAUGCUCCCUGCAGCCGGGAGCGGCCACCACGCAUCCAUCCACCCUUCCGUCCUCCCUGAGGGCCGGCACUGCCUCCCAGAUCCUGCUGCGUACACAGCAGGUGCAGAAUGGGUGCUCGCUAACUCCAUGGGAAGACGGGGUGUCAAACCUGCAGCCACUGGCUUCUGACAGGAGACUUGCUGAGAGCCUGCAAGUCCCACAGGCCUACUGGGGGGCUGUGCACUGAGAGCCUAGGGGGCCACAGCUCAGCCCUGGCACUCCCUGCCCACAGCAAGCAUCGCCCCAGGAGCCGGGCCCAGCCUGCACCCCCCACGCCGGCCCUGCUCCUUCCUCCUCUAGGCCCAGGCGUCCGCCUGACGCAUGUCCACCAUGUUCACCUUGGCUGUGUCACACGUGAGAAGACUGAGGCUCAGUGAGGGCCCAGCAGAGCAGGUGGAGCUGGUCAGCCCGGCUGUGCCCUGACAUGUGGGGGUGGGGGGUGUGGAAUCUUAAUGAGGGAAAAGGAGUUGGGCUGGCAGGACUGAGGGAAGGCAAAAAGAAGAAGCAAAGAAGCUUUAAGUCUGCCCUUCUUCAUUGUCCAGGACACACAGCCCUCCUGCAGAAAUAACUUACAGUCUUCCUGCGCCCGGCUAUCACCAGACCCUUGGCUGAUAGGAGAAUGGAUGUUAGCUGAGUGCAACCUUGGCGUUAUCAGCACUGCCCGUGGCCCUCUCUGGCACACAGCACAGGCACCGUCCUAUAACAUUCCCAGCAAGCCCUCAUCUCUUUGCAGCGGCUCCUCUCUUGCUGACCUGCCGGUUGCUUCCGUGCUAUGCACUUUUCCUACUUUCUCUAAUAAAUCUGCCUUUCUUUACGUA